AUGAUUGUUGUUUGUGUAGUGCUGGGUAUUGUGGUUGUAGUAAGUUCAGAUGUGGUCUUAGUGGGUUCAGGUGUGAUCGUUGUAGGUGUAGUUGUAGUUAUUGUAGGUGUUGUGGUGUUUGUAGGUGUCGUCGUGGCUGUCAUAGGUGUUGUUGUGGUUGUUGUUGGUGACAUUGUGGUUGUCAGUGAUGUAAUGGUUGUGGUCGGUGAUGUAGUGGUUGUUGUUGGUAGCAUAGUGGUUGUUGUUGGUGAUGUAGUGGUUGUUGUAGGUGUUGUUGUGGUUGCUGGUGGUGUAGUGGUUGUCAUCGGUAAUGUGGUAGUUGUUGUUGAUGACAUAGUGGUUGUUGAAGGUGUUGUGGUUGUUGUUGGUAACAUAGUGGUUGUUGAAGGUGUUGUGGUUGUUGUUGGUAACAUAGUGGUUGUUGUAGGUGUUGUUGUUGGUGAUGUAGUGGUUAUUGUAGUUGUUGUUGGUAACAUAGUGGUUGUAAGUGUUGUGGUUGUUGUUGUUGGUGAUGUAGUAAUUGUUGUAGGUGUUGUUGUAGUUGCUGGUUGUGUUGUGGUUGUUGUGGUUGCUGGCGGUGUAGUGUCGUUGUCGUUGGUGAGUAGUCGGUGUCGUUGGUGUAGUGUCGGUGUUGUCGUUGGUGACAUAGUGGUUGUUGAAGGUGUUGUGGUUGUUAUUGGUGAUGUAGUGGUUAUUGUAGUGGUUGUUGUUGGUAACAUAGUGGUUGUCGUUGUUGACGGUGUUGUUGAGGUUGUAGUCGGUGUUGUUGUGGUUGAUAUCUGUGUUGUUGUAGGUGUUGUUGUACGAGUUGUUGUAGGUGUUGUUGAACGUGUUGUUGUGGUUGUUGUAGGUGUUGUUGAACGUGUUGUAGUGGUUGUUGUAGUAGGUGUUGUUGUAGGUGUUGUAGUGGUUGUUGUAGGUGUUGUUGUAGGUGUUGUAGUGGUUGUUGUAGGUAUUGUUGAACGUGUUGUAGUGGUUGUUGUAGGUGUUGUUGAACGUGUUGUUGUGGUUGUUGUAGGUGUUGUAGUGGUUGUUGUAGGUGUUGUUGUUGUUGUUGUAGGUGUUGUUGUUGGUGUUGUUGUGGUUGUUGUAGGUGUUGUAGUGGUUGUUGUAGGUGUUGUUGUUGGUGGUGUUGUAGUGGUUGUUGUAGGUGUUGUAGUAGGUGUUGUAGUGGUUGUUGUAGGUGUUGUUGUAGGUGUUGUAGUGGUUGUUGUAGGUGUUGUUGUAGGUGUGGUAGUUGUUGUUGUAGGUGUUGUUGUAGGUGUUGUAUUAGGUGUUGUAGUUGUUGUUGUUGGUGUUGUUGUAGGUGUUGUUGUUGUUGUUGUAGGUGUUGUUGUUGGUGUUGUUGUUGUUGUUGUUGUGGUUGUUGUAGGUGUUGUAGUGGUGGUUGUAGGUGUUGUUGUAGGUGUUGUUGUGGUUGUUGUUGUUGUUGUUGUUGGUGUUGUUGUGGUUGUUGUAGUUGUUGUUGUAGGUGUUGUUGUAGGAGUUGUUGUAGGUGUUGUAGGAGUUGUUGUAGGUGUUGUUGAAGGUGUUGUAGUGGUUGUUGUAGGUGUUGUUGUAGGUGUUGUUGUAGGUGUUGUUGUAGGUGUUGUAGUGGUUGUUGUGGUUGUUGUAGGUGUUGUUGAAGGUGUUGUAGUGGUUGUUGUAGGUGUUGUUGUGGGUGUUGUAGGUGUUGUUGUAGGUGUUGUUGAAGGUGUUGUUGUGGUUGUUGUAGGUGUUGUUGUACGAGUUGUUGUAGGAGUUGUUGUAGGUGUUGUAGGAGUUGUUGUAGGUGUUGUUGAACGUGUUGUAGUGGUUGUUGUAGGUGUUGUUGAACGAGUUGUUGUAGUUGUUGUUGUUGGGGUUGUAGGAGUUGUUGUAGGUGUUGUUGGAGGUGUUGUAGUGGGUGUUGUAGGUGUUGUUGAACGUGUUGUAGUGGUUGUUGUAGGUGUUGUUGUACGAGUUGUUGAGCGUGUUGUAGUGGUUGUUGUAGGUGUUGUUGAACGUGUUGUAGUGGUUGUUGUAGGUGUUGUUGUUGUACGAAUUGUUGUAUGUGAGAAUGCUUGA
ensembl:lncRNA